AGCAGCCGCGGUAAUUCCAGCCCCAAUAGCGUAUAUUAAAGUUGUUGCAGUUAAAAAGCUCGUAGUUGAAUUUCGGGGUUAGUAGGUUGGUCAUGCCUCUGGUAUGUACUGGUCUCACUGAUUCCUCCUUCCUGAUGAGCCGUAAUGCCAUUAAUUUGGUGUUGCGGGGAAUUUGGACUGUUACUUUGAAAAAUUAGAGUGUUUAAAGCAGGCUCGCGCUUGAAUACAUUAGCAUGGAAUAAUGAAAUAGGACGUUUGAUCCUAUUUUGUUGGUUUCUAGGAUCGACGUAAUGAUUAAUAGGGAUAGUUGGGGGCAUUAGUAUUCAAUUGUCAGAGGUGAAAUUCUUGGAUUUAUUGAAGACUAACUACUGCGAAAGCAUUUGCCAAGGAUGUUUUCAUUAAUCAAGAACGAAAGUUAGGGGAUCGAAGACGAUCAGAUACCGUCGUAGUCUUAACCAUAAACUAUGCCGACUAGGGAUCGGAUGAUGUUAAUUUUUAAUGUACUCA
rnacentral:rRNA from 1 species